GGGAAGGUGGCUCAGUGGUAGAGCUCUUGCCUUGCAUGCAUGAGGCCCUGGAUUCAAUUCCUUACCACCCCG
rnacentral:tRNA from 1 species